UACAGAGGGUGCGAGCGUUAAUCGGAAUUACUGGGCGUAAAGCGUGCGUAGACGGUAGCGUAAGUCAGAUGUGAAAGCCCCGGGCUCAACCUGGGAACUGCAUUUGAGACUGCUCUGCUCGGGUGCGGAAGAGGGAAGCGGAAUUUCCGGUGUAACGGUGAAAUGCGUAGAUAUCAGGAGGAACACCGGUGGCGAAGGCGGGUCUCUGGGCCGUAACUGACGCUGAGGAGCGAAAGCGUGGGGAGCGAACAGG
rnacentral:rRNA from 1 species